AUUGAACGCUGGCGGCAUGCCUUACACAUGCAAGUCGAACGCGAAAGCGGGGCAACCCGCAAGUAGAGUGGCGAACGGGUGAGUAAUGCAUCGGAACAUAUCCAGUAGCGGGGGAUAACCUGUCGAAAGAUAGGCUAAUACCGCAUACGACCUACGGGUGAAAGCGGAGGACCGCAAGGCUUCGCACUAUUGGAGUGGCCGAUGUCGGAUUAGCUAGUUGGCGGGGUAACGGCCCACCAAGGCGACGAUCCGUAGCUGGUCUGAGAGGACGGCCAGCCACACUGGAACUGAGACACGGUCCAGACUCCUACGGGAGGCAGCAGUGGGGAAUUUUGGACAAUGGGCGCAAGCCUGAUCCAGCCAUGCCGCGUGAGUGAAGAAGGCCUUCGGGUUGUAAAGCUCUUUCGGCGGGGACGAAAUGGUCCGUGCUAACACCACGGACUGAUGACGGUACCCGAAGAAGAAGCACCGGCUAACUACGUGCCAGCCGCCGCGGUAAUAC
rnacentral:rRNA from 1 species